rnacentral:rRNA from 1 species
CCCGGGUCUUGUACACACCGCCCGUCACACCAUAGGAGCGGGAUGUACCAGAAGUAGGUAGGCUAACCGCAAGGGGGCCGCUUACCACGGUGCGUUUCGUGACUGGGGUG